AAUGGAAUUGCUGGGUCAUAUGGUAGUUCUAGCUUUUUAAGGAAGCGUUAAAUUGAUUUCCAAAGUGGCUGUACCAUUUUACAUUCCCACCAGCAAU
rnacentral:pre_miRNA from 1 species